rnacentral:rRNA from 1 species
UGGGGAAUAUUGGGCAAUGGGCGAAAGCCUGACCCAGCAACGCCGCGUGAGGGAAGAAGGUUUUCGGAUUGUAAACCUCUGUCCUCAAGGAAGAAGCAAGUGACGGUACUUGAGGAGGAAGCCCCGGCUAACUACGUGCCAGCAGCCGCGGUAAUACGUAGGGGGCGAGCGUUGUCCGGAAUGACUGGGCGUAAAGGGCGCGUAGGCGGCCGAUUAAGUCUGGAGUGAAAGUCCUGCUUUCAAGGUGGGAAUUGCUUUGGAAACUGGUUGGCUUGAGUGCGGAAGAGGUAAGUGGAAUUCCCAGUGUAGCGGUGAAAUGCGUAGAGAUUGGGAGGAACACCAGUGGCGAAGGCGACUUACUGGGCCGUAACUGACGCUGAUGCGCGAAAGCGUGGGGAGCGAACA